UACCAGCUCCCUGAGUGGUAAGGACGAUUAUUUGGCCUAAAGCGUCCGUAGCCGGCUUAUCAAGUCUCUUGUUAAAUCCAAUGAUUCAAUCAUUGACCCGCAAGAGAUACUGUUAUGCUAGAGGACGGGAGAGGUCGACGGUAGUCCAGGGGUAGGGGUGAAAUCCUAUAAUCCUUGGAGGACCACCAGUGGCGAAGGCGGUCGACUAGAACGUGCCUGACGGUGAGGGACGAAAGCUGGGGGAGCGAACCGGAUUAGAUACCCGGGUAGUCCCAGCUGUAACGAUGCGGGCUAGGUGUUGGGGUAGCUACGAGCUACUUCAGUGCCGCAGAGAAGUUGUUAAGCCCGCCGCCUGGGGAGUACGGCCGCAAGGCUGAAACUUAAGGAAUUGGCGGGGAGCACCACAAGGGUGAAGGCUGGCGGUUU
rnacentral:rRNA from 1 species